rnacentral:rRNA from 1 species
CCUACGGGAGGCUGCAGUGGGGAAUAUUGGACAAUGGGGGCAACCCUGAUCCAGCCAUGCCGCGUGUGUGAAGAAGGCCCUCGGGUUGUAAAGCACUUUCAGUGAGGAAGAACGCCUGGUGGUUAAUACCCAUCAGGAAAGACAUCACUCACAGAAGAAGCACCGGCUAACUCCGUGCCAGCAGCCGCGGUAAAACGGAGGGUGCGAGCGUUAAUCGGAAUUACUGGGCGUAAAGCGCGCGUAGGUGGCUUGAUAAGCCGGUUGUGAAAGCCCCGGGCUCAACCUGGGAACGGCAUCCGGAACUGUCAAGCUAGAGUGCAGGAGAGGAAGGUAGAAUUCCCGGUGUAGCGGUGAAAUGCGUAGAGAUCGGGAGGAAUACCAGUGGCGAAGGCGGCCUUCUGGACUGACACUGACACUGAGGUGCGAAAGCGUGGGUAGCAAACAGGAUUAGAUACCCGGGUAGUC